UUCAACAAAUUCCUCCAUGGAGAGUCCUUAAUAGCAGUUGCCCACAACUCCUCAUUGUGCUUGUUCACUCCUCUGCCAGCUGCUGCCAACACACAGCCUGCUGACCCACUUCCUCUGUGAACCUCUUUCUUCUUGGUUUAAUUUCCGAUGCCUCACAAAAUUGGGAAACCAAGCUAUCCGUAGCGUUUGUGCAGAGAAGGGAGCACAUCCACAAAGGAGGAGCUGAGACUGACUGUUGAUGCAACAUGACUACAGCUGUUCCAGUUAACAUCAGUUCAGCAAUCACCUUUGGUCUUCGCUUCACCCUGAAGUGUUCAUGUAACAGACGAACAAGCAAGGUUUGUUGGAGACCUCCAGACAUGUUCCACUUACAGACUGUGCAUGCAGGACGGCUGAAUUAGAGCGCUGUUUCAGGGAGAUUUUAAGGUAUUUUUGGCCAGGGUGAACACAGAGAGAAUUUGAUCUUUAAAUAUGGAAAAAGACAAAAACCUGGAUCCAAGUAAAGCUGAUAAACUCACAUUAUUUGUUCCAUGGCCCAUUGAACCUUCGAAGAAGCAUAAAUACAUGGCAGCUGCAUGUCUAUGAACUAUGCACUUUAUAGGUUCAUGGAAGAAACAUUUAUCAACUUAUUUUCUAACUGUGUUUAGAAAAUAAGUUGAUAAAUGUAUUUUCUAACUGUGUUUAGAAAAUACACUGA